AGAGUUGAUCCUGGCUCAGGACGAACGCUGGCUGCGUGCUUAACACAUGCAAGUCGAACGCUGAAGCCCUCAGCUUGCUGGGGGUGGAUGAGUGGCGAACGGGUGAGUAACACGUGAGUAACCUGCCCCUGAUUUCGGGAUAAGCCCGGGAAACUGGGUCUAAUACCGGAUAUGACCACCGGCCGCAUGGUUGGUGGUGGAAAGUUUUUUCGAUUGGGGAUGGGCUCGCGGCCUAUCAGUUUGUUGGUGGGGUAAUGGCCUACCAAGGCGACGACGGGUAGCCGGCCUGAGAGGGCGACCGGCCACACUGGGACUGAGACACGGCCCAGACUCCUACGGGAGGCAGCAGUGGGGAAUAUUGCACAAUGGGGGAAACCCUGAUGCAGCGACGCAGCGUGCGGGAUGACGGCCUUCGGGUUGUAAACCGCUUUCAGCAGGGAAGAAGCCGUAAGGUGACGGUACCUGCAGAAGAAGUACCGGCUAACUACGUGCCAGCAGCCGCGGUAAUACGUAGGGUACGAGCGUUGUCCGGAAUUAUUGGGCGUAAAGAGCUCGUAGGUGGUUGGUCACGUCUGCUGUGGAAACCCAACGCUUAACGUUGCGCGGGCAGUGGGGUACCGGGCUGACUAA
rnacentral:rRNA from 1 species